AUCUUCAGGGGAUCACUCCCCUACUUCUCACCUGAAGGGAGACACUAUCUUCAGUGGAAAGGCCACUUCCCUCUCCCUCAUGGUGUGAAGGAUAGGCCCAGCUGGAGAUACUGAUUUACUGAUCCCAGGGAAAACAUCUUAAGAUUCUCUGACAAGUUUUCAUGCUUAUGACUAGAGAUGGGAACAGGCUGACUGAGAAAAAGCUCACACCCUUUCACAAUAAGUGUCACCUGAGGUGUGGUGGUUGGCAAUGGAAGAGUUAACAAUGAAGGGGCCGAACAAGUGUUGCCUUUUCUGGGUUGCUUGGCUUUAAUUAAGCAGUUCCCAGGUUUGCCUCUGUGGGCACUUUCCUCCACCAUGUGGACUGUGAUCCUCCCAGAGAGAGGAGAGGAGACGAGACGAGACGAGACGAGACUAAAGCCAUUUAAACCCUAUGCUGAAAUUGAGGACUUCUAGUCUUGGAAACUCCACUCUGCCCUUUUAUUUGUCUAAAGAAAACCAUUUAUUUUGCUGCAUUUGAAGUUAAGAACUAGUAACUCAAUGUCUGCCAUGGAUCUGGAUAUGCUGCCAUUAAAUGCCUAUUUUUUAUGCAAGUGAACCUGAAAUAGGUUCUGAGAUCCCUGCUGCAACAUACUGAGAGUUCUCCUUUCUGAUUUAUUUUAGUGGCAUCCCACAGGAUCAUGUCUUACGUCUACUUAUUAGAAUGGGGUUGUUGUUGUUGUUUGUUUUUCUUUCUACCUCAACUGCAACAGCUGCAUGAACACUGAUAUAUUUAAGUCCUUAUCUUGCUUUUUCUAAAUCCACUUCGAUUUGCUCACAUACAUAUUACAGAAUUAUGCUUACACUAAAAUGCUCUGACUGUGUCCAGAUAUAAUCCACA